rnacentral:rRNA from 1 species
AAUCAACGCUGGCGGCGUGCCUAACACAUGCAAGUCGAACGCGAGAGGGGCUUCGGCUCUGAUUGAGUGGCAAACGGGUGAGUAACGCGUGGGUGACCUACCUUCGAGUGGGGGAUAACGUUCCGAAAGGGACGCUAAUACCGCAUAACAUCCUGUCUUUGGACAGAUGGAGAUCAAAGCCGGGAUCGUAAGACCUGGCGCUUGAGGAGGGCCCGCGUCCGAUUAGCUAGUUGGGGGUAAUGGCUCACCAAGGCAACGAUCGGUAGCCGGCCUGAGAGGGCGGACGCCACACUGGGACUGAGACACGGCCCAGACUCCUACGGGA